rnacentral:rRNA from 1 species
GACCGAAAGUUCUGACGGAGCAACGCCGCGUGAGUGAUGAAGGCUUUCGGGUCGUAAAACUCUGUUGUUAGGGAAGAACAAGUGCUAGUUGAAUAAGCUGGCACCUUGACGGUACCUAACCAGAAAGCCACGGCUAACUACGUGCCAGCAGCCGCGGUAAUACGUAGGUGGCAAGCGUUAUCCGGAAUUAUUGGGCGUAAAGCGCGCGCAGGUGGUUUCUUAAGUCUGAUGUGAAAGCCCACGGCUCAACCGUGGAGGGUCAUUGGAAACUGGGAGACUUGAGUGCAGAAGAGGAAAGUGGAAUUCCAUGUGUAGCGGUGAAUGCGUAGAGAUAUGGAGGAACACCAGUGGCGAAGGCGACUUUCUGGUCUGUAACUGACACUGAGGCGCGAAAGCGUGGGAGCAAACAGGAUUAGAUCCCUGGUAUCCACGCCGUAAACAUGAGUGCUAAGUGUAGAGGGUUCCGCCCUUUAGUGCUGAGUUAACGCAUUAACACUCGGCCUGGGAGUACGCCCAAGGUUAACUCAAGGAUGACGGGCCCACAACGUGACAGUGUUAUCAAGCACCAGACUACGGUCUGACUCCUCUGACACCU